UACGAAGGGAGCUAGCGUUGUUCGGAAUUACUGGGCGUAAAGCGUGCGCAGGCGGUCUGUUAAGACCGAUGUGAAAUCCCCGGGCUUAACCUGGGAACUGCAUUGGUGACUGGCAGGCUUUGAGCGUGGGGAGAGGAAGGCGGAAUUCCUGGUGUAGCGGUGAAAUGCGUAGAGAUCCGGAGGAACACCAGUGGCGAAGGCGACGCCUGGGCCUGACCUGACGCUGAGACGCGACAGCACGGGGGAGCGAACGGGG
rnacentral:rRNA from 1 species